rnacentral:rRNA from 1 species
GCCUAACACAUGCAAGUCGAGCGGAGUUAACAAGAGGAAGUUUCGGAUGGAAUUUGUAAUUAGCGGCGGACGGGUGAGUAACGCGUGAGCGACCAACCUUGCACAGGGGGAUAACGGACCGAAAGGUUCACUAAUACCGCAUGAGACCACGGUGUUGCAUGACACAGAGGUCAAAGGAGCAAUCCGGUGACAAGACGGGCUCGCGUCCGAUUAGGUAGUUGGUGGGGUAAUGGCCCACCAAGCCUAUGAUCGGUAGCCGACCUGAGAGGGUGAUCGGCCACAUUGGAACUGAGAUACGGUCCAAACUCCUACGGGAGGCAGCAGUGGGGAAUAUUGGGCAAAUGGGGGAAACCCUGACCCAGCAACGCCGCGUGAAGGAAGAAGGUUUUCGGAUUGUAAACUUCUGUCCUUGGUGAAGAGAAGAAGACGGUAGCCAAGGAGGAAGCCCCGGCUAACUACGUGCCAGCCGCCGC